ACUGAGCCACGCUGCUUCUCUAAUGUGAAGCGCUGGAGUCCUGAAAAUAUUGGGCUGAGGAGAUUAUGCUUUUCAUGCUUCCAGUCUAAAAAGUUACCAAGCUGAGAACAUACUAAGGACAAUAAGCUCAUUCCGCAGGCGUACCUGUGAAGCGAGCCGCCGGUUUUCGUGCCUGGGAGACGAUCAAGACAGCUUUAUGUAGACCCGGACACGUAGCUCCUGCUCCCGGUGACAGGCGGCUUAUUUCAUUUAAACCUUUCUCUAGGACCACGUUUCUCUCCCAGUGAUGACCCUGGAGAAGUAGGGCAUAGGUGGUAGAGGCAAACUGAGUAUUCGCGGAUGUCACGUUGAAAGACAGCGAAAUUUUCAAAGCAAUAAAAAUAACUUCACCCCGCUUCUGUACAUCGGAAGUCACAAACGUGAUGUUAGGGCUUUAUUGAAGAGUUGAAACCUAUCCGAAAGAGAUGUAUUCCUGGCAGAUGUGUGCAAGCAACAAGACAUUCCGAGAUGGAUUUCAAAAGGCAAAGUUAAAUCGGUGUGCUUUCUAACUGCAGCUUGGCAAAGUUUACAGAGCCUGAUGAAAAUCUAGUAACGGAAUAAACUUGAAACAUUAAAUGUAUAAAAUAUCAUUAUAAAAAAAACGCAAAAGACAGUGCAGAAUAAAACCACCUAAAAACGAAUUCACUACAUACUCCGAAAAAACCACACAAGCUUUUCAAGGGUUUUUCCCCGUCACCAAAUCUACCAAGGAAGACACUUCCAAACUACAUAAUUCUGUUACUACUACAAAGAGUGAGCUCAGGUUGGGUGGGGAUUGGUGGGAUACUGUUGUACUAUGGAAAUAAGCAUUCAAUAAA